ACACACACACACACCAAAACAUGUGUGAGAUGUUAUCUGUGUGUGUGUUCCAUAAACAGGUGUUUUUUACAUUGUUCUAUAUUUUACAUUGUGUGAGCUCUA